CUCACCCGGUUUUGAUAUAAGAUUUAGUGACAGUGAAAAAUCAUCUCCUCUCAUGAUUCAGAGGCAAAAAAUCUUUCGUGUAAUCUUUUGCCACACGAUACGCCGUUAGCAUAUGUACCAAGUAGGAGCCCAAAAAAAGUCUAGAGAGCUUUACAAUACGAUUCAACCGAUAGCAGUGUAAAAAAUGAUUCGGAGGAAUUAGCUCGAGACUGGUUUGUGAAGUUUUGAAUUCAAGUUGCAUUACUGGAAAGGUACAUAUACCACGACCUGGCAACCCUUUAUGGUUACGAGCAAAGAUGGU